rnacentral:rRNA from 1 species
CUUGCACGCUGGCGGCAUGCCUUACACAUGCAAGUCGAACGGCAGCACGGGUGCUUGCACCUGGUGGCGAGUGGCGAACGGGUGAGUAAUACAUCGGAACAUGUCCUGUAGUGGGGGAUAGCCCGGCGAAAGCCGGAUUAAUACCGCAUACGAUCUACGGAUGAAAGCGGGGGACCUUCGGGCCUCGCGCUAUAGGGUUGGCCGAUGGCUGAUUAGCUAGUUGGUGGGGUAAAGGCCUACCAAGGCGACGAUCAGUAGCUGGUCUGAGAGGACGACCAGCCACACUGGGACUGAGACACGGCCCAGACUCCUACGGGAGGCAGCAGUGGGGAAUUUUGGACAAUGGGCGAAAGCCUGAUCCAGCAAUGCCGCGUGUGUGAAGAAGGCCUUCGGGUUGUAAAGCACUUUUGUCCGGAAAGAAAUCCUUGGCCCUAAUACGGUCGGGGGAUGACGGUACCGGAAGAAUAAGCACCGGCUAACUACGUG